rnacentral:rRNA from 1 species
AUGGGCUUGGUCGCAGCUUUUCUCCUGUACUUGUUUUGGCGCCGCGCCCGCGGCUGGAAUGUCGGCGGCGGCAACGACAUCGGUGGGCCCGAUCCCGGGGAAGGGGGCGGGAUGCACGGCGCAGAAGGCAGAGGAUUCGUGGACGCCGUCGGCGUAGUGCUGGGACAAGAGAUCAACGACGGCGAUGGCCAGGGCGGGGGUGGUAACCCUCUGCUGAUCAGAAGAGGCGUCCCUUCGGACCUACAGCUUCAGGCACUUUUUUUGUCUGGUGGAGACCUUGGUGCUGACUUCCUUGAGGCUUUCUCAAUAGUUGAUUCAACAUGCAAUAUUUCUGUAAAGCUGGUUCUUGGUGCGAAAAUCAAGCGACAUGCUCUGGAACAACUGAAGCUUACACUUGAAAGAUAUGACAGCAGAUUCAGAGAUAUGAGUCUACCAUGGCUACUUUCCCUGGCUGAAAACGGACAUGGGAAGCUCGUGCCGCGAAAUGCAUUCAGUCAAACAAAUUACAACAGCGCAGGCUUCCAAUGCUACAAGCUCCCAGAACACCAUUUCCCGCCCGGCAUGUCUUUGGUUGGGGUCUCAGUAACUGGGGAAAGUGAUGAAAAGGCUACUUUGGUUAGCUGGAUGUGCAGUUUGAACAAAAUCAAGCUUAAAGAUGUGAUAGAGCGUUGUUCAGCAAGGGGAGUAUUUGUGUUGAGGAGCUGA